GGACCCAUGGUCUAGUGGUAUGACGUCACCUUGACUCGGUGAAGGUCUCCGGUUCGAAUCCGGAUGGGUCCA
rnacentral:tRNA from 1 species